GAUGGGACUUGUAGUCCCAAAGCAGCUGGAGGGCCAAGUUUGGCCAUGCCUGUCAUAGUCCACCUGCAGCAACUCAACCAGACACCUUCAUCUGCCCCAGCUGCAACAAAACAUGUCUCUCCCGUAUCAGUCUCUACAGCCUCUACAUCAGGCACUGCAACCUUCCAACAGUUUGACUUCACCCCAAAGGCUCACUCCUCCAUUGUCUCCUGAGAGAGACGUAUGCCAACAACCCUGAUCUUAGAUAUUUCUGCCAACAUAUAGGGCAUUUCUAAUGCUACAUUCUGCAUAGGAUCCACAUCACUGUUAGGUGUGUUCUUUCCUAAGCACUUAGGUGAAAGCACAACAAGUCUCAGAAAUGAGCUGUUUAUUACCAUGGUAAUCUGAUUUUUAAAUGUGUCCCUUUUUUGAACCAAGGUAAGACUUUAAUUAAAGUACCACACUUCGGAAAUAAAGCAUAUGUUAGCAGUUCCAUGUUAGAAUGCUCUGGUUUGAUGUGUGUUGGCUUUCUUAAUAAGACUUCAAUAGAUCUACUUAGAUUCUUUACUUGGAAUGAACUUGGGAUUUUUUUAAGCCGCUGAAAACCCAGUAACCGGAAUGUUGUGGUUCUUGUUAAACCUAUUCCCAGGAGGUGGGUGGGGGUGUGUCUGGUUAAUGUCCAAUGUAGCAAUUAGUGACGGCUAACUUACGAUGUGGUAAAGGAAGCAAUACAACUAAGAUAACACUAAUAAACUGCACAGCUUGGUGUUCUGCAGAAACUUAUUUUUAAAAUAUAGUGAGAAUAUUUGUGAGUGUAAUCACUUACUGUGAUAUGUAUUUACAUCUCAUGAAAGUAGAUAUUUUUCAUUAAAUGCACAUAAGGCUAAUAAACCUCUGAUUUGUACAGCCAAUCCCAGCAAAGAGGUCUGUUUGGUUCCCCCCUGACCCAACAAAAAGAUGGCUUCAGUGAUAAAAUGCAAAUAUCUGAAUUGUUAACAAAAUAUUUCUUUCGGUGAUGGCUGUCAUGGUGUUGAGGAGUUCUUUAAGAAGCAUUAGACCAUGGAAAUAUGAACACAGACUUCACACUUUUUAACACUUUCUUGUGAGGCAUAUGAGCACAUUGUUGCUCUCUUCACAGAAUGAAUGUGGAAGAUUUGAACUUGCCAGACCUUGUAGAUGACCAGGUUGCAGCUUGGCCAUCCACAAGGGGCUUUGCUAGAUCAUUUACACGAGAGGCACCAGCAAACUCAAGGUAACCCUGAGGCUUAAAGAUACCCAAAAAAUCUGUCUCUGAAACCCCUUUCAGAGGUCAAUGGCACAGAAAGUUGUGAGACUGAGAAGGGGAAAAGGGUAGACAACCUGUUGGAAGGAGAAAUGGAAAGGCUAGAAAGGGAGGGAGAGAAUAUAGGUCUUUCCAUAUUUUAUAUGUCUAUUCCAUGGUCUGAAUAGAUAACUUCCUGUUUAAUGCCGGGAAGCUACUCUUAAAUGUGCCCAGGGACAGAUGUGAGAUAUGUCCAUAAAAAUCAAUGGAAAGAAAACCAAAAAUUUUAAGAUAAUUCAGGUUGGGUAUAAGCAUGUCUUCUUCUGAAAACCUGCUAAUGGAGAAAAAUGCCCUCAACCAAAUGAUAGUGCGAACUGAAUGUGUUCAGGAUUCUGCCUAUUGGGACUGACUAAACAAGGGACAAGGGGAAUAGAAUGGAGUGGUCGAAACUCUGAAAAGACGUACUCCACACAGCAACAGUUAUGUUGCAGGGGUCCACUUACGUAUUACGUAACUAAGGUUCAUAGAAUGACUUGAAUAAGGUGGGCUUCCUAUCUAUACCUCAGUGUAGGGGCCUUGUUGAGAGCUCAAAGGGCCCAAAGCUCUGGUCUCUCUUCUGGCCCCUGAAUCUUCCUGCCCCUUCCUCCUCACUCUGUUUACCUACCUACCUACCUACCUAUGCCAGAGGCAUCCCCACUGGUGAUAGCUCACCAGUGAUAGCCCUGAAAUGAGGCAUUUGUGAAGCAGGAAGGAGGCAGGACAGGGCUGGCACAGGAUCCACUUGAUCCUGUGCAGACCCUGCUACCAUCACGUGACAUCAAUGGGCCCAAUCCAGGCCUCUUUGCUGUAUUAACCUUGGGUGCUGCAAAGCAGCUUUUUCAAAGGCUGUGCAUGGGAACCAAUUCAGUCAGCCUUGGAUUUUGACCACAUUGAGUUGCAGAAAUGCUGGAUAGGUCAUGUCGACCCACGUAGAGUGAUUUAGAGCUGUCAAAAGAUGGGGCAAUCGGGCAGUGGAGGGGAGGGAGAAGAAGAGGCUGGCAGCAACCUAUUUGGUGGAAAGUAGCAUAACAGUUUCACCCUACCCGGUGAGCAACUUCUGUAUAAAACUGCUAAAGCCAAAUUACUGUUGCAAUUUAUGUUUGUAGCCCCUGAACCCAGUUAUAAAAAAGAUUAGUAUAACUGGUUCAAACAUACGUGCUACUUAUUAAUAGCUUUUAAUUUUAGCUCCUCUAAUGCAGCUUUUCCUUAUUUUUGUAGCCCUGUGAAUUGAUUUUGAAUAAAGCUCAAGCAUUAAAUACAUUACCUUACAAUUUCCGCUCCCAGAAAAAGCAAAAGAAUUAGUACAGUGGAUUCCCACCUGCCCUUUCCACAGAAGAAAAAAGCUUUUAAGCAACAUCUUUUUAAAGGCCUGAAAAUAAUUCACAGGCUUAAAAAGCUUGCUUAGCAUGGUGUCUUUGCAUUACUACUCCACAAGCAGAGUGAUUUUAAAAAGCAAAACAAGAAUAGCAUUUUGGAAACCCCUCCCCAGUUUUGGCAAUAUGCUGGUGGAAAUGGGAAAUGAAAACAAAUCAGGCUUAUUCAAAUGCUUUUAAGUUAUUACUGAUAUUAUUUGAAGUACUUUUUGCCACAUUGUGGUACUUUUUGUGGUACAACUGUGCUGCUUUUGCCACAGUUUUAAGUCUGUGGUAUUUAUCUUUCUUUUAAGUAUAACGGACUUGGUUUAAUCCAAAUUGUCCAUUGCCCAUGUUCGUCUUGGAUGACCAGGACAGUGUGCAGUCUUUGUUGUUGCCCAAACUCAGAGUCCCUUGCUUACGGUAAGGAUGAUAACUUCCUAAAGAUCUCAAAUGAAAGGAAGUUACAAAACAAAGCCAUGUCAAGUAGGCACAUGCCCUACUGCUAAGCACUCAAUCCAAGCCUAUCGAAACAUGUUGAAAGACAAGUCUCACAACAACAGCCAGGCAGCUCCCCCCUCCCUACAGAUAACUAGUGUGAAAACAACAGAUGAAUGUGCAUGUUCACACUUGAAGAAAAGGAAACUGAAGUUACAAAAGUCACCGAAGAACAUGAGAUGAAAUCAUCCCACUGCUAAUAUGUUGUUUUGUAGGCCCUCUCAACAUGUUUGCAGGUUGCUACUUGCACCUCACUGCAGUACAAGGAAUUGAGCUAAAGAAGCAUUUGUUUCGAGGCUGCCAAGAAUAACAAGCUUCCAAGGAAGAUGUGAUGUAGAAAGAGAUCCCUUUGUUCUCUCAUAUGGUGAGACUACGGUAGAGCUAAGUUGAAAAAAGGACAUUUCCAAGUACGGUAGUUCUACGGGAAUGCAAAUUCUGUGCAGGCCUCAUUCCUCCUGUAGGUCUGACUUGCAAGCAGAACUUUCUGGGUCAUCGGAGAAAAUGUUGUAAGGCAAUGAUAGGCACAAGACAUAAGUGCCCUUUUCUGCCUUCAAAAGAAUGCAUGCGAGCAUCAAAUGUGAAGGGGGAGCAAGUGUUACGCUCUCACCCACAACAUGACCAGGACUGUAUUCACACGACAGUUCAUUCCAGUGCUGUUUUUCUAGAAUGCCUCCCUCGUUCUCUUAGAAUGGCAAUGGUGUCUACCUAAGAGGCUGCUGAAAAAAAGCCCUGGUUCAUUCUAUUUUCCAGCCAUUUCUCUAGCUGUUAAUUUCUGCAUUAUUUUUAAGCUUUCACACAGCAUAAAAGCCAUUUCAAGGAAUAUAGUGCAAGUUUAACACUCAUUUCCAUGUCGUUUGCUUCCAGGAGAAAAAUAUGUAAAUAACAGUUAGGGAAACAUCAGGAAAACAACACACACUACUGUGUGAAUGCAGCCUAGCACUAGAGAUGGAGGAGAAAUUCAAUUUUGUAUGCAUGUCAAUGAAAAACUAUAUAAUGUGCACUUCUCAAACCAAUACAUGAAGUGAAAUAGAGGCAUCUCUUUAUUUGCACGAAGGUUGAGUUCUAGGUCAUUGUGAGCAUCGGCAGAGCACAUGUAAGCCUGCCCCAUUCCACCCCUGCCCCCCUUCGGGUCAAAAAUGGUACACACGUUGGUGGUCAUGUGCCAAUCUAGCAUGCACAAAUAGCCUGUACAGCUAUCCUUCAAAAGUCACACUUCUCCAAAUUUUGCAAUUCAGUUCUUUAACAGAACAAUAUGUACAGAGCGUGCAUAAACAGGCAUCUAUUGGUGAAGAUAAUGCAUUCCUGCACACUAUGUUGGGGAAUUGCUUGCAAACAUAUGUAUAUUAGGAGAAAUUGGGACUAAAAUGUUGGUGAAUUUUCAUGAGGAUUUUUUUUAAAAAAAGAAAUUGCAAACUGAUGGGAAAAUAUACAGCACUGAA